rnacentral:lncRNA from 1 species
CUGGCUUCUGCCACUGGUUCCCUCCAUGGUACCACACAAGGGAAGAUGGAAGUGGGUCUGGGCACCGGGAGUGUGCCCACCGGAGACUCCAAGAGAAACGUACGAGUCGUCCCAGGACCGGGGUGGUGAGCGAGGCCCCAUUUUGUCCUCCCAGGGCCUAGUCUCAGACAGACUGGGGUGAGGGAGGUGGGGACAGGCGGCGAGCCAGCGGGCAGACUCAGGCCUGGAGCUCGUCCUGUUCCCCUGGCCACACACCAAGGUGUUGCUGCCUCCUGCUCCCUGGUGGCCAUGCCUGCUGUCCCUCCUCACUGGCCUUCCAGGCAUGGGCGCUGGCUGGGGAGGGAUGGAAGCGUGCCCUGCCGGGGGUGCCCCUCGGACUCGGUCUUGCCAUUCGUGUCCGGGCCUGUGUGGUGGUCUCUGGCCUCGCACGGCCCGUGUGUGUCUGGGGAGGGGUGAAGCACGCCGCCGGCCCCCUCUCCCCGUGGGGCCGAGACCUCCUGGUGGUCGCCUGCCUGACGGUGUCCCGCCCGCGUCCCAGCUGCAAGCUCGGGUGCCAGGGCAACGGGCCCGCCUGGCCGACUACUGCGCCGGGGCCAUGUUCGUGCAGCAGCUGCUGAGUCGCGGCUACGGCUUCGACGAGCGCGCCUUCGGCGGCGUGAUCUUCCAGAAGAAGGCCGCGGACACUGCAGUGGGCUGGGCGCUCGGCUACAUGCUGAACCUGACCAACCUGAUCCCCGCCGACCCGCCGGGGCUGCGCAAGGGCACAGACUUCAGCUCCUGGGUCGUCCUCCUGCUGCUCUUCGCCUCCGCGCUCCUGGCUGCGCUUGUCCUGCUGCUGCGUCAGGUGCACUCCGCCAAGCUGCCAAGCACCAUUUAGGGGCCGACGGGGGCAGCUGCCCCAUCCCUCCCCCAACCCCUGUAUCCCCACCCCGUACUCCCACCCCUCCCACAACCCCUGUACCUCCCACCCCUGUAUCCCCACCCCUCCACCCACCCCUCUCCCAACCUCUCUCCCCGCCCCUGUAUCCUGCAUUCCUCCACCCACCCUCUAUCCCCCACCGCUCCACCCCACCACUGUCUUCUCCAUCCUUCCACCCCACCCUCAGCGUCUCUGCCCCUAAGGCAGCCCAGGAAAUAGGAACUGAGACUCUGGUACCCACAGGAGCCUGGGUGGGCAAAGAGCGCUCAAUCCAGCUCCUUGAACCCCUCCAGCCCGCUUCAGCCUGGGCAUCACUGCAGGCCCCGUGCUCCUCCUCCUCCUCCUCAGGGCUGGGUCUCCAGAGAGUGGGGCCUUGGUCCUGAGAAUCAGCCCUUAGAGGCUCCUUCUGUGUAGUCUGGGUCUGUACUGGGGAGGGUCACAGCCCACGGGCUGGCAGCCAGCCCAGCACCUACUUGUAAAAAUUUUGUAAUAAAAAGUUUUUCCUAGA